AAAAAUGUUUUAAUUUCCAGAAAAUCGAAAAAUAUUAAAAAUUGUUGAAAAAUGUUUUAUUUUCUAAAAAAUCGAGAAAAAUCAAAAAAUAAUUUAUUUUCCAAAAAUAUCAAGACUUAUUAAAAUAUAUUUUAUUUUUCGAAAAAAUCAAAAAAAUCAAAAAUAUUUCAUAUUUUCCAAAAAAAAAGCCAAAAAUUCAGAAAAAGCCAAAAAG
rnacentral:lncRNA from 1 species